rnacentral:rRNA from 1 species
CCUAACACAUGCAAGUCGAACGGUAGCACAGAGGAGCUUGCUCCUUGGGUGACGAGUGGCGGACGGGUGAGUAAUGUCUGGGAAACUGCCCGAUGGAGGGGGAUAACUACUGGAAACGGUAGCUAAUACCGCAUAACGUCGCAAGACCAAAGAGGGGGACCUUCGGGCCUCUUGCCAUCGGAUGUGCCCAGAUGGGAUUAGCUAGUAGGUGGGGUAACGGCUCACCUAGGCGACGAUCCCUAGCUGGUCUGAGAGGAUGACCAGCCACACUGGAACUGAGACACGGUCCAGACUCCUACGGGAGGCAGCAGUGGGGAAUAUUGCACAAUGGGCGCAAGCCUGAUGCAGCCAUGCCGCGUGUAUGAAGAAGGCCUUCGGGUUGUAAAGUACUUUCAGCGAGGAGGAAGGGGUUGUGGUUAAUAACCGCAACGAUUGACGU